rnacentral:rRNA from 1 species
UACGUAGGGCGCAAGCGUUAUCCGGAAUUAUUGGGCGUAAAGAGCUCGUAGGCGGUUUGUCGCGUCUGCCGUGAAAAGUCCGGGGGCUCAACUCCGGAUCUGCGGUGGGUACGGGCAGACUAGAGUGAUGUAGGGGAGACUGGAAUUCCUGGUGUAGCGGUGGAAUGCGCAGAUAUCAGGAAGAACACCCCGUGGCGAAGGCGGCUCUCUGGGACGGUACUGACACUGAGGCACGAAAGCGUGGGGAGCAAACAGG